rnacentral:rRNA from 1 species
UACGAAGGGGGCUAGCGUUGUUCGGAAUUACUGGGCGUAAAGGGCGCGUAGGCGGCUCUGAUCGUCGGAUGUGAAAGGCCUGGGCUCAACCUGGGAAUGGCAUCCGAUACGGCGGGGCUGGAGUGUGGGAGAGGUUGGUGGAAUUCCCAGUGUAGAGGUGAAAUUCGUAGAUAUUGGGAGGAACACCAGUGGCGAAGGCGGCUCACUGGACCGGUACUGACGCUGAGGCGCGAAAGCGUGGGGAGCAAACAGG